GGCUUGGCAAGGCAGGGGCCCGCUGCGGCAUUGUCUGGGCGUUGGGCGGCGGCACCUCGCUCACCGCGAUCGUCACCACGGUCCCACGAUUUCCGGAGUCCGGCAUGGCGGAACCAGGCUGAGAAAAGUUCCAGCGGACCGUCACGGAUGCCCAGGGCGAUGGAUCCCGAAGGAUCCCCUACAUGAUUCAGGCCUGCCCAGACGAUCUUGGGGUGCGUCUCCUUGAAGGCUGUCCCCGCUGGGAAUUAAAGGUAAGGUCAGCCUGUGUGGUGCGGGGCUCCUCUAACCCCGAGGGGCUUCCCGGAACAGAGCAGAACCGCACAGCCUCAGGAGCUGCCUGCGACUGUAGGAUUUCCCCGCGUGGCUUAGUCUCCGUGUGUGUGUGUGUGUGUGUCUGCUCGUAUGUCUCCGUGUGUGUUCACGUGUGUGUACCUGUGCUUGUGCUGCUUGUGGCCGGGGCUCGCGUCACAGUGACGGCCGCCGUGUCCUGGGCAACCGUCUCAGUGGUUUACCAAGGGAGGGUCCCGCUGCGGAAGUACCUGGACUUUGGGCGACGCCCCCCACCCCACCGCGAUCGUCGCCACGGUCCCGCGAUUUCCGGAGUCCGGCUUGGCGGAACCAGGCUGAGAAAAGUUCCAGGGGACCUUCAGGGAUGCCCAGGGCGAUGGAUCCCCAAGGAUCCCCUAGAUGUUUCAGGCCUUCCCAGACUCUGUUGGGGCGCGUCUCCUUGAAGGCUGUCCAUGCUGGAAAUUCCAGGUAAGGUCAGCCUGUGUGCCUGUCUCUUAUACACAUCUAGAUGUGUAUAAGAGACAGGUUGGGUUUCUCCGCGUGGCUUAGUCUCCGUGUGUUGGUGUGUGUGUGUGUGUGUGUGUGUGUGUGUGUACUUGGAAACCAAGGCAGGGCCCCUUGGUGGGUGGCCCAUGUCGAAGGGGGGCAGUGAGCUCACGGAGCAGGGGAAUGUUCUGCUGACACCCUCCUCCGGGGUGUCAGUCUCAAGUCUCUGGUGUCCACCCACCCCCGCCACACCUCAUCAGCCUGCAUCUCCAGCCCGAUGGGACCCGACCACGGCCCACUCCUUCCAAGCCAUCCGGGAUGCCAUGGCGAGGGCAGUCCUUAGUGCCCACCUGACGAUCUGAAGCGCCCUCCUCCUCCAGCCGAUGCGAUCAGGAAAGCCGGCUCAAAGAGGUACGGAGGUCAGAAGUGCCGGGCUACUGCGCUGCUUGUGGCAGGCGGCCUCCUUCCCCGGG
rnacentral:lncRNA from 1 species